AGUGUAAACCAGGCGCGGAUUGUAAAAUCCCGCCUAUUACUGUGUGAACUCAACGACGUCUUCCCAGCUUUCUCGCGAAGGUUGGGGUAUUUAACGAAGAAAGCAAGGACACUCUAUUCUAUACAACUUUUAGCGAUGGAUCUCUUGGCUCUCGCCCCGAUGAAGAGCGCAGCAAACUGCGAUAAGCAAUGCGACUUGCAGUCCUUCGUGAGUCAUCGGGUUCUCGAAUGCAACUGGCACGUCUCCGGACGUACGUCUGGUUGAGGGUCUUCUACAUACUCCAGUUUCUGGGAUGUGAAUGGGCAGCAAGCCUAUUUCAAAGGAAAGUGUGGCAUGCACUGAACCGUUUGGUGGAAAUCGAGCGGGCAAGGUGACAUGCAGGUUGAUCGAUAGUUGGCCAACCACUUUUGAAAUGGACCUCAACUCAGGCGAGACUACCCGCCGAACUUAA
rnacentral:rRNA from 1 species